rnacentral:rRNA from 1 species
CAAUUAGAUUUUAUUUAAUUUAUUUUUUAUUAUAUAAAUUUGCUUUAUAGAAAUAACUUUUGUUUUUAGUAUUUUUAAAUGAAUUAAUUUUUAAUAUUUAUAGUUUAUUUUACUGUAAAGGUUUAUAAUGAUUAUUAUAAAAGUAUAAUUUAUUAUUUGUACCUUUUGUAUCAGGGUUUAUUUAUAAUAUUUUAAUUAUAUUAAAUAUCCCGAAUUUAAAAGAGAUAUAUAUAUAUUGUUAUUUAAUGUGGAAAAAUUAUUAAUAAAUUAUAUAUAGAUGUUAUAUGCUAUUCAUUUUUAAAUAUCUGGUUUCUUAAUAAUUGAAUUUAAUUCAGGAUUAAUUAAUUCCAAUUGAUCAAUUUAUUUUUGUUGUAAUUUUUAAUCUAAAAUGUAAGGGGAUAAGCUCUUAUUCAUUAUUCUAUAAACUUUAUUUUUUCAUGUAAAUUUUGUAGGAUUAGAAAUUUUUAUCAUUUAUUUUGUUAUAAUUAUAUUUAUGUGUACAUUUAUUUAUCUGUGUUUUAGAUAUUUAUUAAGAAUUACUAAUCAAUAAUUUAUUAGUAGAUAUAAUGAUAAAAUUAGUAAAUAUUAGAAAUUUAAUAUAUGGGAAUUCGGCAAAUAUAUUCUUCACCUGUUUAACAAAAACAUGUCUUAAUGUUAUAAUUAUAUUAAGUCUGGCCUGCUCAAUGAUUUUACAUUAAAUAGCCGCAGUAUUUUGACUGUGCGAAGGUAGCAUAAUCAUUUGUCUUUUAAUUGAAGGCUUGUAUGAAUGGUUGGAUGAGGGAAUAGCUUUCUUUAUAUUAAGUAUUGAAUUUAAUUUUUUAGUUAAAAAGCUUAAAUAUUUAAAUGGGACGAGAAGACCCUAUAGAAUUUUAAUAAUAAUUUAUUAAGUAAUAAUUUUGGAUAAUACUUUUAUUAAUAGCUUAUUAUUUUUGUUGGGGUGACAGUGAGACUUAAUUAACUCUCAUAAUAUAAUUAUUAUUAAUAAAUAUAUUUAAGAUCCUAUAUUAAGGAAAAUUAGAUUAAAUUACCUUAGGGAUAACAGCGUAAUUUCUUUGGAGAGUUCUUAUCAAUAAAGGAGUUUGCGACCUCGAUGUUGGAUUAAAAUUGGAUUUAAGUGCAGCAGCUUAAUUUCUAGGUCUGUUCGACCUUUAAAAUUUUACAUGAUCUGAGUUCAGACCGGCGUGAGCCAGGUCGGUUUCUAUCUUUUUAUAAAUAUUUACAAAUUAGUACGAAAGGACCAUUUGUAACAAUUAUUUUGUUAAAGUUGAUUAUCUUUAAAUA